rnacentral:rRNA from 1 species
UACGUAGGGGGCAAGCGUUAUCCGGAUUUACUGGGUGUAAAGGGAGCGUAGACGGUUUAGCAAGUCAGAAGUGAAAGCCCGGGGCUCAACUCCGGGACUGCUUUUGAAACUGUUGAACUAGAUUGCAGGAGAGGUAAGUGGAAUUCCUAGUGUAGCGGUGAAAUGCGUAGAUAUUAGGAGGAACACCAGUGGCGAAGGCGGCUUACUGGACUGUAACUGACGUUGAGGCUCGAAAGCGUGGGGAGCAAACAGG